UUCAGGAGCAAAGCUGACCUCAUAAAAGGAAAUCAAACCAGCAGUAACCGCCACAAAUGCAGGAGCCAGAAGGACUUGGUUUUCAUGUUGCGACCCCAUGAGAGACAUCAUGUUUGGGGCAUUCUUACAAGCCAAUUUGCAAGACAGCCAGCUGCAGUGCUGGAGCAGAGAUGUUCUAGCUGGGGAACACAAGAAGCCAUGGCAACCAUGGGAACGAGGGCCGAUCUGCUGGCUUGGACAUCCUUUUCUUUCUUAGACAAGAUGGAAAGAUAUUGGAGGCAACAGACCAGUGAUAUUGCAGCCUUCCUCGGCCCCUCAGCUGAUUCUCAUAGAGGUUCAUUUGAGUUAAGGAACUUUCCUUUUAAAAUACAGGCAUGCUAUGCCAACUUAGUCACACCCUA